GGGGAAUAUUGGACAAUGGGCGAAAGCCUGAUCCAGCCAUGCCGCGUGUGUGAAGAAGGUCUUCGGAUUGUAAAGCACUUUAAGUUGGGAGGAAGGGCAGUAAGUUAAUACCUUGCUGUUUUGACGUUACCGACAGAAUAAGCACCGGCUAACUCUGUGCCAGCAGCCGCGGUAAUA
rnacentral:rRNA from 1 species